UUGUGGGGUGGGGGGAGGGGGGAGGGAUAGCACUGGGAGAUAAACCUAAUGCUAGAUGACGAGUUAGUGGGUGCAGCGCACCAGCAUGGCACAUGUAUACAUAUGUAACUAACCUGCACAUUGUGCACAUGUACCCUAAAACUUAAAGUAUGAUAAUAAUAAAUUUUAAAAAAAUUUAUUUUGAAAAAAAAAAAAAAAAAAAAAAAGAAUUGGCUAACCCCAGGAGAGGCAGUCACUCCCCAGCCAGGAAGGUUUCUGGAUGCCAAAACAUCAUAAGACACAGAAAAUAAAAAAUAUAGGGCUGGGCGCAGUGGCUCAUGCCUAUAAUCCCAGCACUUUGGGAGGGCGAGGCGGGCAGAUCACCUGAGGUCAGGAGUUGGAGACCAGCCUGGCUAACAUGGUGAAACCCCGUCUCUACUAAAAAUACAAAAAUUAUCCGGGCGUGGUGGCGGGCGCCUGUAGUCCCAGCUACUUAGGAGGCUGAGGCAGGAGAAACUCUUAAACCCAGGAGGCAGAGGUUGCAGUGAACUGAGAUCACGCCACUGCACUUAAGCCUGGGCAACAGAGUGAGACUGUCUCAAAAAAAAAAAAAAGAAAGAAAAGAAAAAAUAUAAACUAUACACAUCACAAAUUGCCCCCAAAACAACCAACAACAAACGUUGAUCAUCUCACAGUUUCUGUGGGACAGGAACCUGGGUGCAGAUUGCAGGGUCCUCCAGCCCAGGGUGUCUCCCAGGGCAGCAAUCAUGAGGUUGCCUGGGACCACAGCCCCCUCAAAAUCCAUCUGAGCAGGAUUCACUGUCAGGCUCACUCGAGUGGCAGGACUGAGUUGUUCCAGGGCUUUUGGCCUAAGGGCUUCGGUUCCCUGCCAUCUGAGCCUUUCCACAAAGCAGCUCACACUAUACAGCUGGCUUUCUCAAAGGGAGCGAGUGGGAGCAAGGGAGACGGCACCAGCAAGACAGAGUCACAGUCUCUUUUUAUUUUAAUUAAUUUUUUUAAUUUUUUUUUUUUUAGACAGUCUCCCUCUGUUGCCCAGGCUGGAGUGCAGUGGCACGAUCUUGGCCCACUGUAACCUCUGCCUCCCAGGUUCAAGUGAUUCUCCUGCCUCAGCCUCCCGAGUAGCUGGGAUUACAGGCACCCGCCACAACGCCGGGAUAAUUUUUCUAUUUUUAGUAGAGACGGGGUUUCACCAUGUUGGCCAGACUGGUCUCCAACUCCUGACCUCAGGCGAUCGCCUGCUUCGGCCUCCCAAAGUGCUGGGAUUACAGGCGUGAGCCACCACGACCAGCCUAUUAAUUUUUUUUUUAAUAGUGGCCAAAUAUAUAUAACACAAAAUUUAUUGUUUUAACCAUUUUAAAGUGUACCAUGAAAAUGUACACCAUUGUACAUACACAUUCACAGUGGCGGCACUGGGCAUAUUCAGAAUGUUGCACAAUCAUAAUUUCUAUGCAUUUCCAGAACUUCAUCAUGAUCCCAAAAAGAAACUCUGUACCCAUUAAACAAUACCUCCCCAUUCCCCCUUCUCCUCAGUCCCUGCUGGCCACUAUUCUACUUUCUGUCUCCAUGAAUUUGACUACUCCAAGUAUCUCAUAUGAGUGGAACCCUUCAAUAUUUGUCUCUUUGACUGGCUUAUUUAGCUUCACAUAAGGUCCUCAGGGUUUGUCCAUAUUGUAGCAUAUGUAAGAAUUUACUUCUUUUUUUUUUUUUUUUUUUUAUUUGACAGGGUGUUGCUCUGUCUGUCACCCAGACUGAAGUGCGGCAGUGCGAUCUCUGCUCAUUGCAGCCUGGACCUCCUGGGCUCCAGUCAUCCUCCCACCUCAGCCUCCUGAGUAGCUGGGACUAGUCAUCCUCCCACCUCAGCCUCCAGAGUAGCCAGGACUACAGGCAUGUGCCACCUCGCCCAGCUAAUUUUUGUAGAGAGGGGGUUUCACUGUGUUGGCUAGGCUGGUCUCCAACUCGUGACCUCAAGCGAUCCAUCCACGUCAGCCUUUCUUUCUUUUUUUUUUUUUUGAGACAGAGUCUUGCUCUGUCACCCAGGCUGGAGUGCAGUGAGUGGCGCAGUCUCGGCUCACUGCAAGCUCCACCUCCCGGGUUCACGCCAUUCUCCUGCCUCAGCCUCUCCGAGUAGCUGGGACUACAGGCGCCCGCCACCACGCUCGGCUAAUUUUUUUGUAUUUUUAGUAGAGACGGGGUUUCACCAUGGUU
ensembl:lncRNA novel transcript